UACGUAGGGCGCAAGCGUUAUCCGGAAUUAUUGGGCGUAAAGAGCGUGUAGGCGGCCAGACAAGUCCGUUGUGAAAACUAGAGGCUUAACCUCUAGACGUCGAUGGAAACUGUUUGGCUAGCGUCCGGAAGAGGAGAAUGGAAUUCCUGGUGUAGCGGUGAAAUGCGCAGAUAUCAGGAAGAACACCCGUGGCUAAGGCGGUUCUCUAGUACGGUACUGACGCUGAGACGCGAAAGCGUGGGGAGCGAACAGG
rnacentral:rRNA from 1 species